CGCGCGUCUAGGGAAACGUACCCGAAAAGCCCGAUUCCUGGCGGGUCUGGCGCGCGGCAUUUCCAGGA
rnacentral:sRNA from 1 species